AUUAAUUUUUGUUUGCUUUCAUCCCUUUUUCAAAGCAGCUGCCCUUGACCAACUUCCCCGCCAGAGUGAAACUGGCCCUCUGUGUGGAGAUCUGCCCACUCCCAGCAUUUUCCCUCCUGAGGGGUGUCCAAGAAGGACUAAGUGAGAUUAGCUACUGAAGUAGGAGAGAUCCAAAAAGUGUUCCAGAAGCCAAAUGAGAAAGAAUUUCCAGAAGAAUGGGGAGGCUUGGUGUUUGGCAUAGCAGGUAAAGCUGCUGCCUGUGA